rfam:Ricinus communis cultivar Hale ctg_1100012348019, whole genome shotgun sequence.
AAACCAUGACGAGGGCACCUCCUUUAUUAAUUCCUUAAACCUUUUCUAAACUUCAUAAAGUGACUCAUCAUCCUUUUGGUAGAAACUAGCAAUCCGCUAUCUGAUUUC